CUUCUUUUUCCACCGGAGCUUGCUCCACCGGAAAAAGAGGAGUGGCGAACGGGUGAGUAACACGUGGGUAACCUGCCCAUCAGAAGGGGAUAACACUUGGAAACAGGUGCUAAUACCGUAUAACAAUCGAAACCGCAUGGUUUUGAUUUGAAAGGCGCUUUCGGGUGUCGCUGAUGGAUGGACCCGCGGUGCAUUAGCUAGUUGGUGAGGUAACGGCUCACCAAGGCCACGAUGCAUAGCCGACCUGAGAGGGUGAUCGGCCACAUUGGGACUGAGACACGGCCCAAACUCCUACGGGAGGCAGCAGUAGGGAAUCUUCGGCAAUGGACGAAAGUCUGACCGAGCAACGCCGCGUGAGUGAAGAAGGUUUUCGGAUCGUAAAACUCUGUUGUUAGAGAAGAACAAGGAUGAGAGUAACUGUUCAUCCCUUGACGGUAUCUAACCAGAAAGCCACGGCUAACUACGUGCCAGCAGCCGCGGUAAUACGUAGGUGGCAAGCGUUGUCCGGAUUUAUUGGGCGUAAAGCGAGCGCAGGCGGUUUCUUAAGUCUGAUGUGAAAGCCCCCGGCUCAACCGGGGAGGGUCAUUGGAAACUGGGAGACUUGAGUGCAGAAGAGGAGAGUGGAAUUCCAUGUGUAGCGGUGAAAUGCGUAGAUAUAUGGAGGACACCAGUGGCGAAGCGGCUCUCUGGCUGUACUGACGCUGAGCUCGAAGCGU
rnacentral:rRNA from 1 species